GCCAGGCCAAAGCUGGCGCAUCGUGGCGGCCUUAGGAUCCGCUGGCGCAGGCCUUCGUGGGUUCGAGUCCCACCCCUCGCA
rnacentral:tRNA from 1 species